GUGAGAUAUUAACAGCUGUUUAGAAGGGAGAAUGAAACAGACUUUAUUCUGUUGUGAGGCAUUCAGUCUGGUUAGGGAUUACAGCUAGUACAUUCGGUUGCGUUUAAGCCAUGUGCUGUUUCAAAUAUUGUGUGUGAAAAGUAGAACUAGCUCUGGGAACCAAGCUACAUCGUGCCUUCCUAUCUCUCCAAAGCUUUUACAAGAACUUGUGUCACAAAAUCAGCUUGUUUGACUUUGUAGUUUUAUGUAUUUUAUCAGUUGUAGGCAACAGCAUAGCAAUGUUUUUAAGAGCUGAGAAUAACUCUGUGCUUACUGACAGUGCCAGACACCAGUAAGCUUUUUGCAUCUUCUAACUCACUGAUUGCUCAUAACCCAUUGAUUUAUAGAUGAAACUAAGGCACACAAAGAUUGGUCAACUGUCACACAAAUAGUGACAUGGGGUUGAGACUUAGACCUGAUACUCUAAUGUAAUGUAUGCUCUGAUAAAAGCAGAUUUAGUGUUGGAUAGUUGAAUCCUAUCUACUAAUUAGUAAUUGUAACCCCCCUACUAAAUUACUAACCCCCUCUGAAAUGAUUUCUAACAUGCUCACUAAGCCUUGGCUGUUUUCAUCUCUAAAAGGGGAAUAAUGAGACUGUAGUAGUACCUAAGGGCUGCUAUGGGAGUUAGAUAAUAGAUACUUCUAAACAGGAGAACAAGGGCUGAAUAAAACUUAACCAGAGUUUUUACUAUGAAUUAGUGCCAGACUAUGCAACAGUUAAAAGGAAAAGGGUUAAAUUAUACGUAAAUAAUUCUAUCAUUAAGAAUUUAUUCAGGAUCAACUUUUUUUAUUAGAGCUUUAUGGUUAUACAUAAUAGUUGGGUUCAUCCCAAAAAACUCAUGCAUGCAUAGAAAUCUUUUUCAGUUCAUGAUCCCUCUUUUUCCCUUUUAUCCUUCCUGCCUCCCCCUCUCCUUCCUCUAAUCUACUGGACUUCCUUUUACUCGUCUGUUAAUUGAUUGGUUCCUUAUGUAAUCUUAUCCUUCCCUUCCCCUCUCCUUUAUUUUAUUUCAGCUUCAUUAUAUGAGAAAACAUUCUGACCUUUGAGUUUCUAAGUUUGUCUUAUUUCACUUAGCAUGAUAUUCUCCUUUUCUAGACUUUUACUGGCAAAUGCCAUAAUUUCGUUCUUUUUAAUGGCUGAUAGAACUCCAUUGUAUGUGUAUACCACAAUUUCUUAAUCCAUUCAUCUAUUGAUGGGCAUGUGAGUUGACUACAUAAUUUAGCUAUUGUGAAUUGUGCUGCUAUAAACAAUGAUGUCACUGUGUCACUAGAGUAUGCCAAUUUUAGAUCUUUUGGGAAAAGACCCAGGAGUGGGUAGUUGGGUCAUAUGGUGGAUCCAUCCCUGGUUUUUUUUUUUGAGAAAUAUCCAAACUGCUUUCCAGAGUGAUUGUGCUAGUCUGCAGUCCCACCAACAAUGUACAAGUAUUCCUUUCUCCCCACAACCUCUUCAGCAUCUAUGAUUGAUUGUAUUCUUGAUUAUUGCCAUUCUGAUUUAAUUUGCAUUUCCCUGAUUGCUAGAGAUAGUGAACUUUUUUUCAUGUAUUUGUUGACCAUUUUUGUUUUUUCUAUUGAAAAGUUUCUGUUUAGUUCUUUUGUCCAUUUAUUGAUUGGGUUAUUCGGGGUUUUUGUUUGGGGUGUGUGU
rnacentral:lncRNA from 1 species